rnacentral:lncRNA from 1 species
UUGGCGGUAUUGUUUGGAUAAGGCAGAGAUGAGAGAGCGAGAGAGGGGAAGAGGCGCUCGAGCGGUGAAGGAGCGGAGGCGAUUCCCGUCAUUCAUGUCGAUUCUGAGAUCCCCUUCCCUUCGAGCUUGAUUUCUCCUCCCUUGCUCUUCGUUCCUCGGCUGCCCCAGUUGGUUGUUCUCUUCUCUCUCUCUCUCUUCCCCGUGUGAUCUAGGUUUCUCCUCCGUUUCUGCUAGUUUCGAUUCGAGAUCCAUGUAUGUUCUGGUGUUUGAUUGAUGGAUUGUGUAUGUUCUUGCCCGUGUUUGGUGUAUGUGCUCUUGUAGAUUUUUCCCAUGGCUCCCGAUGUGUUUGUGUAAGUUCUAUGAAAUUGAUGUGGUUCCUCUGCUUAGGUUUUUAGCUCUUUCAUGUCUGAAUCCCCUCGGGUGUAGGCGCUGGUAUGUGUUUCGUUUCCUGUAGUCGCUGGUAGGGGUCUAGAUUUAGGGUUUCCGUUGGGUUUUGUUCUGGUUGGAGUAUGAUUCGUGUGUAAUGCUUCAUGUGUUUGGGUUAGUGAUUUUGCUCUAGUGGGAGUCUCUGUAAUGCUUAAUGUGUCUCGUCCUUGGGAGUAUGAUUCUUCAGUGGAUGUCCCUGAUUGUGCUAUUCUGUAAUCUCAUGUGUUCUAGCCCUGCAAUUGCCCCCUAUGUUUUCAGUCUUAGAUCCCUCCAGUAUUAGAGUGUAAGGUUAGGUUCAAGUGUUAUUAGUCAUGUAUUUGGCAGCAUUUUCCAUGUGCUUACCCGGUAAUAUUUAUCUGAUUUUGCGGUGUAAUUCCCAUGCUUAGUGCCUGUAUUUUGUGGAAUUACACUAUAUUACUUCUUUGCACUGUAAUAUUUAUCUGAUUUUGUGGUGUAAUUCCCAUAUUUAGUGCUUGUAUUUUGUAGAAUUACACUGUAUUACUUCUUUGCACUGUAAUUCACCUGAUUUGCAGUGUAAUUCCCAUGCUCAGUCAUUAUAUUUUUUUAGUUAUAUUACAGUGUAUUUACCUCAGAAUUCCACUGUACUUCUGAUGAAUUUCAUGUAGGCUUCUUCAUCACACUGUAUUAUUCCCUUGAUUUACUGUGUAAUUCCCAUGCUUAGUAACUAUUUUUUUGGAUAUAUUAAUGUGUAAUAUUCCCAUAUUUACGUUUUGUAGUUCCCUUGCUUCAAAUUUGUAAUUAUGGUUGUACUGUAAUUCCCAUGCCCAGUCAUUGUAUUUUUUAGUUAUAGUGAAGUGUAAUUUUCCUCAGGUUUCUUGUGUAACUCCCAUGAUUUUCAUGUAUGCUUCUUCAUCACUCUGUAAUAUUUCUCUGAUUUACUCUGUAAUUCCAAUGCUUAGUCACUGUAUUUUUUGGAUAUAUUAUGGUGUAAUGUACCCAUAUUGUAAUUCCAAUGCCUCAUUUUUGUAGUAAAGCUCAUAUUGUAAUUCCCAUGCAUCGUCACUGUAAUUUUCAGCUAUAUUACAGUGUAAUAUGGCCUAGUAUUACAGUGUAAUUUUGGGGUAUUGUACUCUGUAUUUGCCAUGCUUCUCCUAUGUAAUUCCUGUACAACAUUAGUGCGUCUUAUUUGCAACCAUAUAGGUCCUGAUAAGUUUUCUUAUUCUUUGUUGUUAAUGUAGUAUUUGAUUUAGGAUUUAUGUAGCAUUGUUUAAGAGUGUUUUGGUUUUGUAGUUUGAGGAGGGUCCUGGCAACCAGUUUUUUCAUGUUUAAUGGGUAGGCUAUGGAAAGUCUAUCAUUAGGGCGUUCCGUUAGCAUCUUCUUUUGAGAGUGCAGAUUGUUUUGCUGACGAACCAUUUGCGCCUGUCAACGGUAGCUAUUUCUUUCUUUUUCUCUACUUUUUUUCAAUUAUUAUUUCUUGAAGUCUGUUUAUUUAUUUUGUCUCUGUUGUAUUUUGCAUUUUUCAGGAACUUUCAGGUGAUGAAGCAGACUUUGACCAAGCUCUUUUCAAGUUUUAUGUGAACCAAGCUCAUUAUUUCUCUUUUUUGCUUGUUGUUCUUGAGGAUGCUACUGUAGCCACUAAAAAUCCAACCAAUUUUGAGUAGAAAUUCAUAUAUGCCUGGGCUUCUUCUUUUGUUUUGAACUACAUGCCUAACUGUGGCUUAAAAUUGCUGCUGGUGUUCAUAAGAUUGCCUUCUGAUGCAGUCUCUUGUUCAUUUUGCAGGAACCUCUCAAUGUCUUCUUCAUCGAGGUAUUCAUUGUCUGCGUCUUGUUCAUGUGAGUCCUCCGUUUCUCCCCUUUGUCCUUCUUGAUUUAUCUGGUUUGUGUUUGACUUUGAUUUAUUUGUUGUGGAACUAGGGUCAGUAUCUUCAGGGACCUGCAAAAUUAUUCUUUUUGUGUCCGUUUUAAUUUUCAAACAGGUUUGUACAAAUACGUUCAUAUUCUAUUUGUGACUUUGAUUUAUCUAUUUAUGUGGCUACCUGUUCCAAACUGAUGUUGUCAAACAUGUGUGCCUCCCAGGGAUUAGGUUCUGUUGUGCCUUCUUCGCUUGCUGUAGCUUCAUGAUGCAUUUCCUGCAAUGUCUGCAGUGUAAGUGAGAUGUUACUUUCUCUCUUUUUUCUCAGUUCAGAUAUGAGUUAUUCAGUACUAGUUUUCCUCUCCAUCUUGUGUAAUGUUUGCAGCACCAUCUCCCGAAUGUACCCGUGAGCGUCAUGAUUUCUUUUAAUUUAAAACUUCUCCUUCUCACAGAUUUGUAGCUAUGCAGUAUUUGAAUUUCCAUUUUACCUUGUAGAUAAUGUCUGAAUUGAGGAGCGCUGUGAAUGAAAAUGAUUCCCGCAAAAAAAAAUUUGUUAGCAUGAAUGUAUUGUAUAUAGCAUUUUCCUCUAUUGAUUUUUGCAAUCAAUUUGCUAGUAUUUAUACAUGUCUCACAUUUAGAAUGAGUUCUUCUUGUGACAUUGACAGUAGAUCCUCUCCAGUCACUCUUCCUAUCAUGCUCCCCAUCUGCAAUAUUGAAGAUUAAAUGUGAGAGAAUUUUAAUUUUGUAAGCGGCAAACUGUUAUCAGUGAUAGCUCUUUUCUCUGCAUGUAUUUCCUAAGCAGAAAACUGUCAAUAUUAACUUUUUAAGCUCCAAACUACAAAUCAUUUUUUAAGGAGCAAAGUGUGAGUUCCUGGUUUUGGACACUGUAAAUCCUGGGUGGCAUGAGGUGUUUUUACAGUGUAAAUCGGUAGUUUGAAUGGUAAAUGUUGGGUGCUUACUAUGUUUAUACAAUGUAAAUUCCAAGGUCUUUGGACUGUAUUUGUAAUGUAUUAAGAAUGUAAAUUCCAGUGCCAUUAUACUGAAUUUACAGUGUAGAUAUAUGCAUUUUUACAGUGUAAAUUCCAGGGUUUUAGUACUGAAUUUACAGUGCUAAAACUUGGGUAUUUACCUUUACCGUGUAAUUAUAGGGCCAUUAUACUGAAUUUACAGUGUAAAUACUUGUGUAUUUACAGUGUAAUUACAGGGCCAUUGUACUGAAUUUACAGUGUAAAUACUUGGGUAUUUACAGUGUAGUUACAGUACAAAGGCCCUGAAUAUCUUGGGUAUUUACACUGUAAAUUCAUGCAUUUGUACACUGUAUGUUGUAGGGUUUUGCAUUAUAUUUACAGUGUAAUUUCCAGGGCCAUUGUAUUGAAUUUACAGUGUAGUUACAGGGUCAUUGUACUGAAUUUCAUGUAGGCUUCUUCAUCACACUGUAUUAUUCCCUUGAUUUACUGUGUAAUUCCCAUGCUUAGUAACUAUUUUUUUGGAUAUAUUAAUGUGUAAUAUUCCCAUAUUUACGUUUUGUAGUUCCCUUGCUUCAAAUUUGUAAUUAUGGUUGUACUGUAAUUCCCAUGCCCAGUCAUUGUAUUCUUUAGUUAUAGUGAAGUGUAAUUUUCCUCAGGUUUCUUGUGUAACUCCCAUGAUUUUCAUGUAUGCUUCUUCAUCACUCUGUAAUAUUUCUCUGAUUUACUCUGUAAUUCCAAUGCUUAGUCACUGUAUUUUUUGGAUAUAUUAUGGUGUAAUGUACCCAUAUUGUAAUUCCAAUGCCUCAUUUUUGUAGUAAAGCUCAUAUUGUAAUUCCCAUGCAUCGUCUCUGUAAUUUUCAGCUAUAUUACAGUGUAAUAUGGCCUAGUAUUACAGUGUAAUUUUGGGGUAUUGUACUCUGUAUUUGCCAUGCUUCUCCUAUGUAAUUCCUGUACAACAUUAGUGCGUCUUAUUUGCAACCAUAUAGGUCCUGAUAAGUUUUCUUAUUCUUUGUUGUUAAUGUAGUAUUUGAUUUAGGAUUUAUGUAGCAUUGUUUAAGAGUGUUUUGGUUUUGUAGUUUGAGGAGGGUCCUGGCAACCAGUUUUUUCAUGUUUAAUGGGUAGGCUAUGGAAAGUCUAUCAUUAGGGCGUUCCGUUAGCAUAUUCUUUUGAGAGUGCAGAUUGUUUUGCUGACGAACCAUUUGCGCCUGUCAACGGUAGCUAUUUCUUUCUUUUUCUCUACUUUUUUUCAAUUAUUAUUUCUUGAAGUCUGUUUAUUUAUUUUGUGUCUAUUGUAUUUUGCAUUUUUCAGGAACUUUCAGGUGAUGAAGCAGACUUUGACCAAGCUCUUUUCAAGUUUUAUGUGAACCAAGCUCAUUAUUUCUCUUUUUUGCUUGUUGUUCUUGAGGAUGCUACUGUAGCCACUAAAAAUCCAACCAAUUUUGAGUAGAAAUUCAUAUAUGCCUGGGCUUCUUCUUUUGUUUUGAACUACAUGCCUAACUGUGGCUUAAAAUUGCUGCUGGUGUUCAUAAGAUUGCCUUCUGAUGCAGUCUCUUGUUCAUUUUGCAGGAACCUCUCAAUGUCUUCUUCAUCGAGGUAUUCAUUGUCUGCGUCUUGUUCAUGUGAGUCCUCUGUUUCUCCCCUUUGUCCUUCUUGAUUUAUCUGGUUUGUGUUUGACUUUGAUUUAUUUGUUGUGGAACUAGGGUCGGUAUCUUCAGGGACCUGCAAAAUUAUUCUUUUUGUGUCCGUUUUAAUUUUCAAACAGGUUUGUACAAAUACGUUCAUAUUCUAUUUGUGACUUUGAUUUAUCUAUUUAUGUGGCUACCUGUUCCAAACUGAUGUUGUCAAACAUGUGUGCCUCCCAGGGAUUAGGUUCUGUUGUGCCUUCUUCGCUUGCUGUAGCUUCAUGAUGCAUUUCCUGCAAUGUCUGCAGUGUAAGUGAGAUGUUACUUUCUCUCUUUUUUCUCAGUUCAGAUAUGAGUUAUUCAGUACUAGUUUUCCUCUCCAUCUUGUGUAAUGUUUGCAGCACCAUCUCCCGAAUGUACCUGUGAGCAUCAUGAUUUCUUUUAAUUUAAAACUUCUCCUUCUCACAGAUUUGUAGCUAUGCAGUAUUUGAAUUUCCAUUUUACCUUGUAGAUAAUGUCUGAAUUGAGGAGCGCUGUGAAUGAAAAUGAUUCCCGCAAAACAUUUUUUGUUAGCAUGAAUGUAUUGUAUAUAGCAUUUUCCUCUAUUGGUUUUUGCAAUCAGUUUGCUAGUAUUUAUACAUGUCUCACAUUUAGAAUGAGUUCUUCUUGUGACAUUGACAGUAGAUCCUCUCCAGUCACUCUUCCUAUCAUGCUCCCCAUCUGCAAUAUUGAAGAUUAAAUGUGAGAGAAUUUUAAUUUUGUAAGCGGCAAACUGUUAUCAGUGAUAGCUCUUUUCUCUGCAUGUAUUUCCUAAGCAGAAAACUGUCAAUAUUAACUUUUUAAGCUCCAAACUACAAAUCAUUUUUUAAGGAGCAAAGUGUGAGUUCCUGGUUUUGGACACUGUAAAUCCUGGGUGGCAUGAGGUGUUUUUACAGUGUAAAUCGGUAGUUUGAAUGGUAAAUGUUGGGUGCUUACUAUGUUUAUACAAUGUAAAUUCCAAGGUCUUUGGACUGUAUUUGUAAUGUUUUUGAAAUUCUGAAAUUAUGAGUUUUUUUGAAAAUUUAAACAAAAUUUUGAAAAUUCUGUUUUUUUUAAAUUGAGCAUAUUUGAAAUUAUGAGUUUUUUUAAUAUUUUUUUGAGUUUUUUUGAAAUUGAGCAUAUUUAAAAUGAAACAAAAUUAUGNNNNNNNNNNNNNNNNNNNNNNNNNNNNNNNNNNNNNNNNNNNNNNNNNNNNNNNNNNNNNNNNNNNNNNNNNNNNNNNNNNNNNNNNNNNNNNNNNNNNNNNNNNNNNNNNNNNNNNNNNNNNNNNNNNNNNNNNNNNNNNNNNNNNNNNNNNNNNNNNNNNNNNNNNNNNNNNNNNNNNNNNNNNNNNNNNACAAAUUUUGAUUUACUUUUGAAAUUCCGAACAUUUAUGAUUUUUUGAGAAAAAUUGAAAUUUCAAAUAUUUAUUGAAAAUCCAAAGAAAUUUUGAAAUUAUGAUUUUUUUUUGAAAAUUUAAAAAAAUUUGAAAUUCAUUUUUUUAUUUUUUCUGAAAUUCUAAGUUUUUCGAAUAUUUAAACAAAAUUUGAAAUUUUGAUUCUUUUUGAAAAAAUAAACAUAUCCGGACAUGGUCUAGUCGGUGGGGACGAGUGUCAGGGCCAGCAUAGCUGCCUCUAUGCACCCUGUCUGGGGUGCAUGAGAUGAGCAUGGCUGAGGGCACUUUUAUGCAUCAGAUGAGCAUAGCUCAGGUGAGCCCAUGCACCCUACCAAACAAGCAAAAAUGGGUUGGAUUAGAAACUUUUGCCCUCAUACACCCUCCAUCCACCCUACCAAACACACCCGUAAAUACCGGAUAUUUACAGUGUAAUUACAGUACAAUCGCCCUGAAAAACACUGUAAAUACAUGCCUUUGUAUAGUGUAUGUUCCAGGGUUUGUAUUUACAGUGUAAAUUCCAGGCCAUUGUACUGAAUUUACAGUGUAAAUACUUGGGUAUUUACAAUGUAAUUACAGUACAAUGACCCUGAAUACCUUGUGUAUGUUCCAGGGUUUUGCAUUGUAAUUCCAUGGGCUGGUCCCUGUUUGGUGUCAGGUUGUUUUGUGGUUAUACAGGUGUUAUCUGUUCAUUUGUGAGGAAAUUUGAAUGUUGCCGGAUUGAAAAACAGUCAAGUGUCAAAUAGACAUUGUUUCAUCAUAUCAUGCAUGCAUGUACUCUACUACUCGCACACGUACGGGCCGGUUAUUAUCAAUAAUCGUCGUAACCCACUCUUGUCUAUUUCAGGCAUGUUUAAAUUUAUAACUCGCAAAACGUCUUACAUUAUGAGACAGAAGGAGUAUGUGAUUGCGUGGGUAGUUUGUCCGGUCCUCAUCCGUCGCAAUGGUUGGACGUAUAUCUACGCUACUAUUAUGUCAUUUCGUUUCGUAUCGUUAGUCCACCCUAGGACGUCGUACUCCAGCACCCGCCAACGGCUCACCAACAGCGGCAGCCAGUCGCUGACGAGCCGAAAAGGCGUGACUGCUCUUGAUUCACCGAUGAGGUGGUUGGCGUCGUGUCGGUAAGCUGAGCUGUCAAGGACACACGAGGUUUUUAUUUUUUUGAACAAAAUGAAGUUGGUUCGUGUUUCCCCAUCGCAACGAGCACCAAUUUGGUUUGAGCUGUCGGUGCAAAGCAAACCUGGUCAUUUGGGCCGUGCAGGCCGGCUUACCAUGCCAGCAUGGCACGACGUGAAAUUGCCACCAAAGGGGUAAACGGGAUGUGUCUGCACGGAAGGGGGGUAAACUGGCCGUGCCUGGCACGCCAGGGGACGUGUUUGGGCCAUGAGGUUGGGCACGUGGGUCGGCAUGACACAACCUGUUUACAUUUAUCUUUAUCUAUAAUUUCUAAUAUCUAAUACUAAAGCGACUAUCGCUUCUGAUCGUCCGUCAUCAAAAUUGCCCUCUAAGUUGACAAGAAGAAAUCCAAAAGAAAUUAAGAAAAAUAAUAAACUCGCUGUGCCUAAGAUGGAAAGGGAUUAUACAAGAAGCCGGUCCAUAUACGAUCAAAACUUAUGGUCAUGUUGGUAAGGCGCAAAAAUACCAAUUAAUAUUUUUCAUGUGUUUUACUUUUCUGUUAUUUGAAAUUUUGUGUAAUUUUUUAAAAAUUCUUCAUAAAGUUGGUUUGUGUUUCCCACCAUUGCAACGAGCACCAAUUUUGUCUGAGCAGUAGGUGCAACGCAAACCUAGCCAUUUAGGUCGUGCAAACCGGGCCGGCCUGUUACCACACUAGCAUGGCGCGACGUGAAAUUGGCACGGCACGGGCUAAACGGGUCGUGCCUGGCACGCGGCACAUCAUGGGCCUGUUUGGGCCAUGAGGCUGGGCACGCGGGUCGGCAUGACACAACAUGUUUAUAUUUAUUAUUAAUGUCAUUUCGUUUCGUUAGUCCACCCUAGGACGUCGUACCCCGCACCCGCCAGUGGCUCACGGAUGUCUACUAUGCAACUUGUAUGGAUCUGUUUAUGUUGUGCAAGUUCAUGUACUUUUUUUUUUGCGAGGGUGUGCAAGUUCAUGUACUGAUGGCGAUAUUAACUUUAAUCAAAUUGAACGUGAUUAUUAUGUGUAAAAAGGUAUGGACUAGGCACUUUUGGUAGCAUAUAUCACACGCCAUAACGUGGAGAUAUGUGCAAAAGAUUUGUACUAUGUAGUAGUAGCAUAUAUCAAUCGGAAUUGUAGUUGUUUUCAUUUUAUUGAUUGAUGAUAGAGAUUUCGUUAAUAGUGCGAAAAUAUGGAAAUUCUUGAUUUGGUAGCAGCACAUGCCAUAAACAAUACAAGAUGCAAGAUGACCAUAUAAGUGGUCGAGGGUGCGAGAGGCAGAUGCGUUGUAUCGAUCGGUGGAAGAAUCCCUUCUCUAUUCAUCAUCAGUUAGCUUAGAUAAAUUAACAUGUCAAUAGCCGUGAUCCUAUUGCUCGUCACGCUUGGUGUCGAUGGCGUCUCAAGUCUCUCUGCCGCUGCGCGCACGGACGGCAUAGAGAUGGCGGCCAUGCAAGCGAUCGCCAAGUCUACCGGCGCGGACAGGUCGCUCGGGUGGGGCGUCAAGUCGGCGGAUCCAUGCGACGGCACUUGGCCAGGCGUCCGCUGCGACAAAGAUUCGCACGUCGUCGCCAUCAACGCCAGCCGCGCCGGCCUCUCCGGCACUCUCUCCGGCACCGACCUCGUCGACCUCGGGUACCUCACGGAGCUCGACCUCAACUUCAACCGCCUGGGCGACGACAUGCCGAUCCUCCCAAGGCCUCUCACCUACCUGACGACCCUCAACCUACAGUCCAAUUCCUUCAUGGGCAUGCCAGAGACCUUCUUCCGCUCCUUCCCCGCGCUGGAGACCGUGGUCCUCGACGACAACUGGGUUAUAAUGGGGGAGCUUCUCGGCCAACAACGUCACCAUCUAUGGCCGCUUCCCGGCCUACUUCGGCAACACCACCCUUUUCCCUGUCCUUGAGAGCCUCUCUUUAGCGAGGAAUGAUCUCAAGAGCGGACUGCCCUCGUCCUUCGCCAAGAACAGCAAGAUAAAGUUCCUCGACAUUAGCAGGCAGCAGUAUUCUAUUGGCCUCGGCAUGUACAAUGGGUUUCUAGAUUUCGUCGCCGGCAUGACUAGCCUCGUCGAGAUCCACGUGGCAGGCGAUCAAUUCCGCGGGCCGCUGCCAGACGUCUCUGGGCUGCUCAAUCUCAAGGUGUUUGAUGCCGCCGACAACAACUUGUGCGGUAAGCUCAAGUUUCCUCCCGGCGUUGCGGUGAAUGUCACCGGAAACCCCCAAAUCGGAAAGGACUGCCCCUAGCUAGCUUUGUGGAUGCGUGGGCCAAGUUUUUGUUUUCUUAAAUAAGUACUCCCACUGUUGGUGGUGCCUUUUUUAACUGCUAUAUUUUGUUGGACUGUUGUUGGAGAAGGUAUUUGUUCUGAGAGGUUAGUGGUGUUGUUCGCUGCAUGGUUGUGGUGUCCUUGAUUGCUACAACUAUGUUCUUUGAAAUAAGAAGUUGUGUGUUGCAUCUUUCAUACAACUGUACUUCUGUACAAAGUUUCUGGCAGACCAUCCUUCCCUAUAAACCAACGGGUAUUUCUCUUUUUAAUGGAAUCACUCUCGCUAUUAAAGACCUUCAAAAGAAAUUUCCCUGGACAUCAUUAUUCUAGGCUGUUGGAAUAUUUGGAACCAAAGAAAUUGCAAGAUUUUCAGAAUGGGAAUCCCGACACUCAAUUCUUGGAUAUUUCUUUUAAAGGAGGAUUUUACUCUUCUUCAACAUAGAGUCAAGAGCAAGAAUUUGGACUACCUUCAAAUUUUGAUUAGCUCAAAUAUCAAUAUUUGACACAUGAUGUUUCCAUCUUGGUAUAGGAUGCUUUAUUUUCCGUCAUUUCUUCUUGUAUUAUAUGUACAUAUUUGUUUAUAUAUGAAGAAAUGUUGUAGAACUAUUGUUCCACUUCCGGGCUUCAGAAAAAAAAAA